CCAUUGCCGACGCCGCAACCUGCAACAAAAUUCUCUACACACACACACCACACCAAACAGCUCAAAUUUUCACCGUACCUCCCGUUUCCAUCUUCCUUCUUCCUGCCGGUCGCGUCGUCCGUCCACGGCCUCCUUCCCUCUCCCUUCUCGCUCCCCUCCGCCCCGACUCUCUCCUCUCUCCUUCUGGAACUUUCCUCUUCUUCUUCGUCUCCGCUGUCCUCCUUCCCUCC
rnacentral:lncRNA from 1 species